rnacentral:rRNA from 1 species
UACGUAGGGGGCAAGCGUUAUCCGGAUUUACUGGGUGUAAAGGGAGCGUAGACGGCUGUGCAAGUCUGGAGUGAAAGGCAUGGGCUCAACCUGUGGACUGCUUUGGAAACUGUGCGGCUUGAGUGUCGGAGAGGCAAGUGGAAUUCCUAGUGUAGCGGUGAAAUGCGUAGAUAUUAGGAGGAACACCAGUGGCGAAGGCGGCUUGCUGGACGAUGACUGACGUUGAGGCUCGAAAGCGUGGGGAGCAAACAGG